rnacentral:misc_RNA from 1 species
GAAAUGCGAUACGUAAUGUGAAUUGCAGAAUUCAGUGAAUCAUCGAAUCUUUGAACGCAUAUUGCGCUCUUUGGUAUUCCGAAGAGCAUGCUUGUUUGAGUAUCAGUAAACACCUCAACCUCCUCUUGUUUUUUCAAAAGGAGGGUGGACUUGAGCUAUCCCAACAACCUUCACCGGUAGGCGGGCGGCUUGAAAUGCAGGUGCAGCAGGACAUUCUUCUGAGCUAAAAGCAUAUCUAUUUAGUCCCGUCAAACGGAUUAUUACUUUUGCUUCAGCUAACAUAAAGGUCGAAUGCGCCACAAUCGCUGAUUGCAGGAAAACUCGUUCGUAAGAACUUGUAAACUCGAUCUCAAAUCAAGUAAGACUACCCGCUGAACUUAA